rnacentral:tRNA from 1 species
GGACGGAUAGCUCAAUGGUAGAGCAACGCUCUUAUACAGCGUGGGUUGGGGGUUCGACUCCCUCUCCGUCCA